AGAGUUUGAUCCUGGCUCAGGAUCAACGCUGGCGGCGUGCCUAAUGCAUGCAAGUCGCACGGACCGUCUUCGGACGGCCAGUGGCGAACGGCUGAGGAACACGUGCGUAUCUGCCUUCUCGUGGGGAAUAACGGGUGGAAACACCCGCUAAUACCGCGUACGCUUGACUUUGGUCAAGGAAAGCCCUUCGGGGUGCGGGGAGAGGAGCGCGCGGCCCAUCAGGUAGAUGGCGGGGUAAUGGCCCACCAUGCCGGUGACGGGUCGCUGGUCUGUGAGGAUGACCAGCCAGACUGGGACUGCGACACGGCCCAGACACCUACGGGUGGCAGCAGCAAGGAAUCUUCGGCAAUGGGCGCAAGCCUGACCGAGCAACGCCGCGUGGAGGACGACGGCCUUCGGGUUGUAAACUCCUUUUUGGGGGGAUGAUACGGACAGUACCCCCAGAAUAAGCCCCGGCUAACUCUGUGCCAGCAGCCGCGGUAAUACAGAGGGGGCAAGCGUUGUCCGGACUUACUGGGCGUACAGCGCGCGCAGGUGGUCGGCUAAGUUCGUGGUGACAGCGUGCGGCUCAACCGCACAGGGUCCAUGGAGACUGGUCGACUAGAGGCAUCGAGAGGGAUACGGAAUACCCGGUGGAGCGGUGAAAUGCGUAGAGAUCGGGUGGAACACCGCGGCGAAGGCGGUAUCCUGGCGAUGACCUGACACUGAGGCGCGACAGCGUGGGGAGCAAACGGGAUUAGAUACCCUAGUAGUCC
rnacentral:rRNA from 1 species